ACCGUUCUUCGGUCAAGGGUAUACGAGUAGCUGCGCUCCCCUGCUAGAACCUCCAAACAAACCUGAAGAGAUAUUUAAAACUAAUACCUCAGAAGUGC
rnacentral:sRNA from 1 species